GACGAACGCUGGCGGCGUGCUUAACACAUGCAAGUCGAACGGUGAAAGCGGAGCUUGCUCCGCUGGAUCAGUGGCGAACGGGUGAGUAACACGUGGGCAACCUGCCCCUCACUUCGGGAUAACUCCGGGAAACCGGGGCUAAUACCGGAUAUGACCUCCUUGGGCAUCCUUGGAGGUGGAAAGUUUUUCGGUGAGGGAUGGGCCCGCGGCCUAUCAGCUUGUCGGGGAGGUAGUGGCUCACCAAGGCGACGACGGGUAGCCGGCCUGAGAGGGCGACCGGCCACGCUGGGACGGAGACGCGGCCCAGACGCCGACGGGGGGCAGCGUUGGGGAAUAUUGCGCAAUGGAGGAAAGCCUGACGCAGCAACGCCGCGUGCGGGAUGACGGCCUUCGGGUUGUAAACCGCUUUCAGCAGGGAAGAAGCCGCAAGGUGACGGUACCUGCAGAAGAAGCACCGGCUAACUACGUGCCAGCCGCCGCCGUAA
rnacentral:rRNA from 1 species